GUUGUGAAAGGUACUGUUUGCCUUUCCAACUUUAAUGUGCGUGUGUAUGACGUAAGGACCUUGUUAAAACGCAGUUUCUGACUCAGUAGUGUGAAUGGGGCCAGAAUGCUGCAUUUCUAACACUCUCCCAGAUGGUGCCAAUGUUCCUCAUCCACAGACCACAGCUGAAGUAGCAACUAUGUAAACCUCAGGCUACUCAUCACAGUGCAGAGUGAUUUCACCUAAAGGCACAACAGCAGCUGAUUGCCACAAUACAAACAAGAGCCGCCACUUACUGACAGCAGCUACGUGCCAGAAAUAACCAUCAACCUUGAAGCUG
rnacentral:lncRNA from 1 species